GUUAGUUUUCAACUAUUCCUCAGGUGAAAGAAUGCACCUCAUUGAUGAAAGAAGCAUCCUUCAGUCCACUGAUGAUGGAAAUGACAAAUCUAGAUGUCUUGAAAUGUUUGGAUCAGUAGAGAGAGAGGGGUGGUCAUAAUAGUGUGUUGAUGGGAUCUUUUAAGCUAUUCUGUUGCUUCAAAUGAUGCACAGAGAAGAUGGGAGAAUUUUAGCUGAGGUCCUGCUUUGAGGGCUAUUUUACUUUUAAUUAUUAUUUAGAAAUUAUUUGAUUUUGCAGAAAUCAUUUGAUUUAUGAUCAGCGACGCUUCACUCCCAGCACACAGCUUUUACUGGUUCAUCUGGGGAUUUGCGUUUAGGUUUGCCUCCUAGCCAAGAUGUUCGUAUCAACAGAAACACGGUGGGAAAAGUGGAUGCAUACAUGAGUGUUUGUGUGGGUUCAGCAGUGACCAGUGACUGUUUAUCUACUGGUGAGGCGUCAUUGUGACUUUAUUUAUUAGUAUAUGAACCAUUUCACACAAUGCCACAGUGCUUCAAGAAGCUCCCUCAUCACUAAAGCCCACCAAUCAUGUUUAAAUGACAAGCAGGUGUGCUAAGUGUUCAAUGGCCAGAGAUCUGAAGUUAACACACACACACACACACACACACACAUGCACAAACACAGAAUACUGGUAAAUGAGAAUCUAAACCAAAUAGUACAGGAAAAAAAUUAAUCAAACUUCGGAAGACAACAACUGCAAAUUCACCAAAACUAAAAUUGAAAUCUUACAGAAAAAAACUAACUACUAAAUCUGAACCUAAAGCCCACAUCACACAUCAAAUAAUUGAUACCGUCCUGAUAGUACUGUGAUGUUCCUGAGCCGAGGUGAGUGGCAUCACCCCCAUCUCACUCUGACUGAUUUUCCACAGGUGACAGCGGAGGAGGGCCGCAGCUGCAGAACAUCUCCAAUCAGGGACGCGGGUAUAAAAGGAGGAUGGUGACACCUCAUUACGCCGGAUGAUUGCUCCUGUAGAGAAUCUCAUUCAACCUGCCUCAACUCGCUGUUUUACUGACUGGACAUUCUCACCACGUCCCAUCCUCCUCCGCUGUGCCUGGUUGGAUUCCUUCCGCUGUCUAACCUGUUUCCUCAUCACCCCUGGACUGACUUGAGCUCACCUCGGCUUCCUCACCUCAUUCUCCCCGAACGUUUAUGGACUCGAGCUACUGCUCACCUUCUCCACAGGACUUCCCUGUGCACCUUUUGUUCCAGUUAUAUAAAUAAAGACUUUAAUUUCUUCCUA